rnacentral:rRNA from 1 species
CAGCAGUCGCCACGGUAAUACAGAGGGUGCGAGCGUUAAUCGGAUUUACUGGGCGUAAAGCGUGCGUAGGCGGCUUCUUAAGUCGGAUGUGAAAUCCCUGAGCUUAACUUAGGAAUUGCAUUCGAUACUGGGAAGCUAGAGUAUGGGAGAGGAUGGUAGAAUUCCAGGUGUAGCGGUGAAAUGCGUAGAGAUCUGGAGGAAUACCGAUGGCGAAGGCAGCCAUCUGGCCUAAUACUGACGCUGAGGUACGAAAGCAUGGGGAGCAAACAGGAUUAGAUACCCCGGUAGUCCCUGUCUCUUAUAC